UGGGGAAUUUUGGACAAUGGGCGAAAGCCUGAUCCAGCAAUGCCGCGUGUGUGAAGAAGGCCUUCGGGUUGUAAAGCACUUUUGUCCGGAAAGAAAUCCUUGGCUCUAAUACAGUCGGGGGAUGACGGUACCGGAAGAAUAAGCACCGGCUAACUACGUGCCAGCAGCCGCGGUAAUACGUAGGGUGCAAGCGUUAAUCGGAAUUACUGGGCGUAAAGCGUGCGCAGGCGGUUUGCUAAGACCGAUGUGAAAUCCCCGGGCUCAACCUGGGAACUGCAUUGGUGACUGGCAGGCUAGAGUAUGGCAGAGGGGGGUAGAAUUCCACGUGUAGCAGUGAAAUGCGUAGAGAUGUGGAGGAAUACCGAUGGCGAAGGCAGCCCCCUGGGCCAAUACUGACGCUCAUGCACGAAAGCGUGGGGAGCAAACAGGAUUAGAUACCCUGGUAGUCCACGCCCCUAAAACGAUGUCAACUAGUUGUUGGGGAUUCAUUUCCUUAGUAACGUAGCUAACGCGUGAAGUUGACCGCCUGGGGAGUACGGUCGCAAGAUUAAAACUCAAAUGAAUUGACGGGGUC
rnacentral:rRNA from 1 species